rnacentral:piRNA from 1 species
UCACUAUGUAUAUCUCUGACUGGCCU